AGCACAAACUUGAAGCAGAGUAGAUCAGUAGGAUCAGCUGACCAUGCCCAACUAUUCUACUUCAAGUUUGUGCCC
rnacentral:pre_miRNA from 1 species